UGUAACGAAUGUCAGGAAACAAAGGGACUGC
rnacentral:piRNA from 1 species